AAAGUGGACAACAUUAAAAACAUCUAUUUUGCAACCCCAAGAUAAAUGGAACCAAUAACCACACCCCAGUUAUAAGGUUAUUGUGAUUAUGUCAUAACUUACAUGGAAUGUUUAGUAUUUUACCUGGCAACUGUAAACUCUCUUUAAAUAUUAGCAAUUUUUCCCCUUUUUAUUGAAUUAUGAAAAGAAUUAUCUCUGAGAAGAACAGAGAGUGGAGUUAGAAGUAGAUAGAACACCAGGAGAGAUGAUGU
rnacentral:lncRNA from 1 species